rnacentral:ncRNA from 1 species
CAAAAUUACAUAACAUUCACUCAUAUAAUAGCAGGAAUAUGGCCUGCAAGUUUCUACCAGAUUACCGUAAAUGAUCUGACUAUGAGAAGCAAUCUAGUAAAU